AUUAAAGGGCUCGCGGCCAACAAAAAGGCAACCCCGGGGGUGGCGAAAAGCGUCCUUCGGGCAGGACUAGUGCGGAGCCCCGCGGGGAGCACCCCAGCAGGGAAGUCCCGAUCUUCCCACGUGCUGGGAAGCCUCCCAUGUGCUGGCUCAGUCUCGCCAUCCCACUCACCUUCCCAGGGAGGGAUGCCCUAGCACGCGGCCCGGCCCGCCUUUUGAAGGGGGAAAGUGGGGCGCCUCUGAGCCUCUGCCUGGGGUGGGGGCGGGCCAGGUCCUCUGCCAACUCAAAGACGAGGCGGGGCGCCAGCGCUGGAGGCGUGGCUGUGCCUGAGAGCCGUUGGAGGAGGGAGCCCCGCUUUCCCUCUCCUGUCUCCUAGUUCUCCUAUUGCGCUUUUCCUGGGGGAUCUUUCUCCCUCUGUCUCCGCCCCCUAAUCCAUGCUCCCGAUAAUGAGGGUGGGGGAUGGUGGUAGGAGAACGCUCGGCGCCUGCGCACUAGCUUCAGGCCGCGGGCCGGCCCAAGAGCGGAGGUAGAGGGAACGACGCAUGCUUGAGAAAUGGCGGGAAACAGAGGAGGCUCGAGGCUUGCUCACACGCACACAGCCAACUGCUUCUGGACCGCCUUGCUCACACGCACACAGCCAACUGCUUCUGGACCGCCUGAAAGGCAACCUCGCCCGCCGCGGUGGUGUGGGGCGGGCAUCCCUUGAGACUGUGCUCUGGAGGCCUGGAGAAACAGCUUUCUAUCCUCAGCACUGGGGAGAGCAGGCCUCAAUCCCUGCCUUUGCCUGCCGCCCCUCUUCCUUCCCUCUCAAAGCAUACCCAGCAGCCCCGGCGCUGAGAAACGCGUUACUCUCUUAUCAGCUGUGGGAGAGACAAGACAGACUGGCCUCUGGGCGGAGGGGCCGCCAUUGCCUGCCCUCUGGACCAGGGCCUCACAGAUACCCUCAGCUUCAGGAUUAGGGCUGCGUUGGUUUUUCCCCCCACAUCAGGGGACUUCAACAAGUAACCUCCAGUUCCAUAGAUAAAACUUGUAUUCCCCCCUUCUCCAUGGCAGGGGUUUUGAGCCUAGAGAAGGAAGAUCGGAGCUUCCUGGGGCUCCUGUGAAGCAGGCAGGGGGCAGCACUGGGCCCCGGGAAGAGGCGGAGAAGGCGAGGGAGUGCCUGCGGUGAGCCCAGAGCCUUGGGCCCGUUAUCCUCUGAUGCUGCUCCCCCAACUUUCCUGCCGUCAGUCCCUGACCUUGCCUGAGACCUUGGCGGCUCCCGCACCUCUCUCCCGGCUCCUCCUUGCUGAGAACACAACCCGCAAGGCCCUUCCGCCUGGCUGGACUGAGUCCCCUAUGGAGGCAGCCUGGCAGGGAGCAGGUAUCUUCCUGGCAGAAGAGGACAGACCUGGUAAACUGAGAGACUGUUGAUGCCCCAAUGUUCUGCCUAGCCUGCCUGGAAACUCCAGAAGGAUACAGCAAGAAAGCAGCAUCUGCAAGAAAGCCCUCACCAGGACCAAAUCAGCUGACACCUCAACCUUGGACUACCCAGCUUCCCGAACUGUGAGGUAUAGAUUUUUAUUGUUUAAGUCACCAAGGCUACGGUGUUUUUAAUAGCAGCCCAAGCCCAGGAAUACAUCAUCUGACUCACUAUUUUGAAUCAAACUCUUCAGUUUCUCCAUCAACUUAGCUGGCAGCUCCUGUCCCCAGCAGCAUCAGAGGCCCCAUGAAAAGAGCUCCAGCAGGGGCUCAGCCUGCAUGGGUCCCAUGCGGCAGCCUCAGUGUCAGAGCCUGGAUGGCAGGUGAGGCUCCAGUGACACAACCACAAUGUGAAAGUGUAAGAGUUUUUAACUACUUAUAGAUACUGGAAAGCACAGGGCACACCUGGAGACCACAGACACUGGGGUCAGAGAGCCCAGGCAGGGAGGAGAGAAGGGAACUGUAGGCCAAUGGCUUUAUUGGGUCUAGGGUGUUAUUGACAGGUUUCCAGAAGGGAGCUUUAAUGGGUGUGUUUAAAGCAGGCAAACACUGGGGCAAGAAGAUCACACUGUGACUGAGAGGUGGUCACUUUAAAUUGGAGGGCGAAUGUCACAACUGUUUCAGUUUAAAGGAAGCAGCUGGCGAGAGGGGAGCCCAGCACACUAUGCAAGAGAGAUGCCUCUAAGAUUUUAUCUGUGGCCACCGACUGGAGCCAUUUGGACCGGGUACAGCAGUGGAAACUCUGUGAUGGUGACAAACAUGGGAAUCACUCUGAUGUGACGCAGUUAAAUUUACACCUUAAAAAAUGGAUGCCAAGACAACAUAAACAAGACCCAGGGACACCAACAGGGUAUGGUGCUGUGCCCCAGAGUCAGGGUCCUGGGUUCUUACCCAGGGAAGUGAGAAAUAAAGAUAACUUUUCCCUGCUCCCUCUCUCCUCCCCUGACACUGAUCUUCCCACCCUGUACCUCCCUCUUCUGCUCCCAAACCCCCACCCAGUGCUCAGUCGCAGACAUCACUGCCUGCAGGGCAUGCACAGUGCAGCCCAUUGCACACAAACUACAAACUCACAGAAGGUGAUGACAAUUUGUGUUUGGGACGUCUGAUUGUGAAAGAGGGAGGACAGCGUACUUGCAGCCACAGAGACUGAAACUGGAACGUGAUGGAACGGGGCUGGAACGUGAUGGAGCUCUGACAUAACAGACGUGUGACUUUGUGUGAAAUGUGCAGAUCCAUGUGGAAUAAAACACAGCCUAGCCUGUGAAAAAAAAAAAAAAAAAA
rnacentral:lncRNA from 1 species